ACUGGUAAGGCGCAUUUGUAGAUGCAGCAGACUGGGUCAGGUUCGAAAGAAAGCAGCCCUCGCUGAUAACGCAAGAUGCGCCCCUUUUUUUAUUA
rnacentral:SRP_RNA from 1 species